rnacentral:rRNA from 1 species
UACAGAGGGUGCGAGCGUUAAUCGGAAUUACUGGGCGUAAAGCGUGCGUAGACGGUUGCGUAAGUCAGAUGUGAAAGCCCCGGGCUCAACCUGGGAAUUGCAUUUGAGACUGCACGGCUAGAGUGUGUCAGAGGGGGGUAGAAUUCCACGUGUAGCAGUGAAAUGCGUAGAGAUGUGGAGGAAUACCGAUGGCGAAGGCAGCCCCCUGGGAUAACACUGACGCUCAUGCACGAAAGCGUGGGGAGCAAACAGG